AUACGUAGGGAGCGAGCGUUGUCCGGAAUUACUGGGUGUAAAGGGAGCGUAGGCGGGAGUGCAAGUCAGCGGUUAAAUGGUGCGGCUCAACCGUGCCCUGCCGUUUAAACUGGGUUUCUUGAGAGUGCAAGAGGCGGAUGGAAUUCAUGGUGUAGCGGUGAAAUGCUUAGAUAUCAUGAAGAACUCCGAUUGCGAAGGCAGUCCGCUGGGGCACGUCUGACGCUGAUGCUCGAAGGUGCGGGAAUCAAACAGGAUUAGAUACCCUGGUAGUCCGCACGGUAAACGAUGAUUACCCGCUGUCGGCGGUAGACAGUCGGCGGCCAAGCGAAAGCGAUAAGUAAUCCACCUGGGGAGUACGCCGGCAACGGUGAAACUCAAAGGAAUUGACGGGG
rnacentral:rRNA from 1 species